rnacentral:misc_RNA from 1 species
UCUCCGUUGGUGAACCAGCGGAGGGAUCAUUACCGAGUUUACAACUCCCAAACCCCUGUGAACAUACCUAUUGUUGCCUCGGCGGAUCAGCCCGGCCCCGGUAAAACGGGACGGCCCGCCAGAGGACCCCUAAACUCUGUUUUUAGUGUAACUUCUGAGGAUGAAAAAAAACCAAUUAAAACUUUCAACAACGGAUCUCUUGGCUCUG